rnacentral:rRNA from 2 species
UGAGACCUGAUGCCGAGCCGAUUGUGGUGAAGUGGAUGAUCCUAUGCUGUCGAGAAAAGCCUCUAGCGAGUUUCAUGGCGGCCCGUACCCUAAACCGACUCAGGUGGUCAGGUAGAGAAUACCGAGGCGUUCGGGUGAACUAUGGUUAAGGAACUCGGCAAAAUGCCCCCGUAACUUCGGGAGAAGGGGGGCCACACCUGGUGACGAUCUUUACGGUCUGAGCUGGGGGUGGCCGCAGAGACCAGCGAGAAGCGACUGUUUACUAAAAACACAGGUCCGUGCGAAGCCGUAAGGCGAUGUAUACGGACUGACGCCUGCCCGGUGCUGGAACGUUAAGGGGACCGGUUAGCUCCAUUUCGGUGGGGCGAAGCUGAGAACUUAAGCGCCAGUAAACGGCGGUGGUAACUAUAACCAUCCUAAGGUAGCGAAAUUCCUUGUCGGGUAAGUUCCGACCUGCACGAAUGGCGUAACGACUUCUCGACUGUCUCAACCAUAGGCCCGGUGAAAUUGCACUACGAGUAAAGAUGCUCGUUUCGCGCAGCAGGACGGAAAGACCCCGGGACCUUUACUACAGUUUGAUAUUGGUGUUCGGUUCGGCUUGUGUAGGAUAGCUGGGAGACUGUGAAGCUCGCACGCCAGUGUGGGUGGAGUCGUCGUUGAAAUACCAGUCUGGUCGUGCUGGAUGUCUAACCUGGGUCCGUGAUCCGGAUCAGGGACAGUGUCUGAUGGGUAGUUUAACUGGGGCGGUUGCCUCCUAAAGAGUAACGGAGGCGCCCAAAGGUUCCCUCAGCCUGGUUGGCAAUCAGGUGUUGAGUGUAAGUGCACAAGGGAGCUUGACUGUGAGACCGACGGGUCGAGCAGGGACGAAAGUCGGGACUAGUGAUCCGGCGGUGGCUUGUGGAAGCGCCGUCGCUCAACGGAUAAAAGGUACCCCGGGGAUAACAGGCUGAUCUUCCCCAAGAGUCCAUAUCGACGGGAUGGUUUGGCACCUCGAUGUCGGCUCGUCGCAUCCUGGGGCUGGAGUCGGUCCCAAGGGUUGGGCUGUUCGCCCAUUAAAGCGGUACGCGAGCUGGGUUUAGAACGUCGUGAGACAGUUCGGUCCCUAUCCGCUGUGCGCGUAGGAGUCUUGAGAAGGGCUGUCCCUAGUACGAGAGGACCGGGACGGACGAACCUCUGGUGUGCCAGUUGUUCUGCCAAGGGCAUGGCUGGUUGGCUACGUUCGGGAGGGAUAACCGCUGAAAGCAUCUAAGCGGGAAGCCUGCUUCGAGAUGAGGACUCCCACCCACUUGAUGGGGUAAGGCUCCCAGUAGACGACUGGGUUGAUAGGCCGGAUCUGGAAGCACCGUGAGGUGUGGAGGUGACCGGUACUAAUAGGCCGAGGGCUUGUCCU